AGUCAAGGGGAGCUUGUAAACUUGCUGAGAGGAAGGUGUGACCUUCGACCCGUAACCUGAUUUGGAUAAUGCCAACGUAGGGAAUAAUAU
rnacentral:ncRNA from 1 species